UUGCUUGCUGCACACAUUUGAGUCAUGUCAGCUUGAAUGGAUGUAUUAAUAUGCAUGAUUUAAAUUGGGGAUUUUCUGGAGAUCAACUGUCACAAAUACCCAGUGUUAGUAUACCUCAUGUAUCUUCCCUGGGAGAACAGCAGUUGUCAAAUGAACAACCAAAGCGUUUGCUAGAGAACCUUAACUGUGUAGGCUGCCCAAAUAUAAAAAAGGUGCUUAUUCCAAUGGCACAAGGUUUCCUUUUGUCAUCAUUAAACCUUUCCCUGUCUGGGAAUUUGAAGGAGGUUGAUAUAGCUUGUUACAACUUGUGCGUUCUCAAUUUGAGCAAUUGCUGUUCAUUGGAAUCAUUGCAACUGGAAUGUCCAAGAUUAAGUAGCCUCUUUCUUCAGUCCUGCAACGUUGAUGAGGAAUCAGUUGAAGCUGCUGUGUCACGAUGUAUGAUGCUUGAGACGCUUGACGUUCGCUUUUGUCCCAAGAUUUGUCCAUUGAACAUGACGAGGUUGCGGGUUGCAUGUCCCAGUUUGAAACGCAUCUUCAGCAGCCUAGUCCCAUCGUGAGGCAAAAUGAAAUAUUUGAUAGGUUUGUGUAGGCUGGCUAGGGACGGACAUAUUUGACUAGAGAGGUUCAUAUUUUAUGUAUAGUUUAGCUAGUUAUGUUGCUGUGAUUGGUGAAAACAUACAGCGAGCUUCAUACAUGUAACACCUUAAACUUAAUAUUUUAACUAUUUAUGUUGUGAUUGGUGAAACAUACAGCG
rnacentral:misc_RNA from 1 species